GUUGGGAUCACCGGGGCCUCCAUCGCCAGGCAUGUACACGCUACAUCAGGUGUAGGUGAACAACAUCAGAGUGCGGCAGUCAGAGAUCCUAAAGAAGGACUCCAUAUGUUUAGUCGAGACAGUACGCCGUACAUCUCUUACGACGAGGAUAUUUGUUUCAGGACCGCUUUCCCGAUACUGACAAGGACAUUUAAGCAAUUAUGUGAGCUGCAGUCUGGAUCCUGCCUCUGUCAGAUGACCUAAAACAAAUAGAAAGAUGACAUCGACCCUUGCAAGGACUUCAGACGAUCCCAGCACUGGACUACAUACAGUGG